rnacentral:other from 1 species
GCGCCCCUGCGUUGAGCGAUUGGCACAACAAGUUGCCUGAGCCGAUAUUUGUCGAAUGGGAGCUUACCUACUCUGGCCGUGUGCGUCCCGAUUCCCGGGAUACCUGAAGCCGGAGUGCGGCGCCCACCUCAUCUAGAGGGUUCGACAACUGGAUGCACAAACGCCAGCGCGGGGGCGCC